GUGCCCGCUCCGCCCGGUGCCGCCGGGCUCUCCGCCUCGCGGCCGCGGCCCCUAACGGGAGGCCCGGCUCCUUCCUCCCGCCCGGCCCGAGCCCCGACAAGAUGGAGGCCGCCCGCCCGCCCCGCCGGGAGCGGGUGCGUUCUGGCUGCCGGCAGCGGCCCGGAAAGGGCCGAGGGAAGCGCUGCCCUCAGAGCCGGGGCACGCCUCUCCCCGAGGCCUCGCGUUCGCUAUUCAGAAAACAACGGCGGCUUUCGGUCGCUGCGCGGAGCGCCGGGGGAUCCCUCCUCCCUGCCCCGCACCGCAGCUCUGCCCGAGGAACGGCCACAGUUCUCAGAACGGACCCAACUUGGGAGAUAAGCCCUGAAGCGCUGAAAUAAGGGACUGGGCAGCUUGAAAGUUCUAAGAAGUGCUUUAACAUUUAUUUCCUAGAGAAGCUACUUCACUACUCCUAGGAAAACGAGGAGAGUUGUCUAGUCCUUCUGGCAUCCGACUCUCCGCGUGGCUUUCUCGUACUUGCUGGGUGUAAAUAUCAGUAAUCUCCAUGAAGAGAUGAACUUCUACUGAGCAGUGUUCAGCCCCUCCGUGCCCCACUCAGAGCUCCCAUCCCGCAGUCUCCCUGGGCGGAUGUCACCCACGUCACCUAAUGCACUGCAGAUGCUGUCACGAUGGCAGCAGGACAAAAACAGCGCACAGAAAGAAUUAGCGGAGCUUUAGACAAAGAGGAUCACGGUUCAGCUUUCUAAGGUCAGCAUCAUCUGCUCUAACCCACCAUCCUCACAGAGGCUCGCCUGAACACUGAACAGCUGCUCAAACGACCAGUUAAAGCCCCUGGCUUCCACUGUAGCUGCACCCAACCCCAGAUCCAACGCCUCCUGUCAGCCUACCUUCCUGAAAGCACGAAGUCACCCAUUACAGCUGCAAAUACAAGUUGCUCCACUUAUCUCAGCACUACUGAUUCAAAACAAACAUACAUUCUCCCAUCACUGAGAAGACAGAUUCCACAACUGCAAUCAGAACUUCAGGUGCUUCUCCUAUCUGCUCUCUAUAUAUACAGCACUGAUUUUCAGCUUCUUCCCUAAAAACCUGUUGUCUUUGAAUUUGCUACAAAAGGGGUUCCUACAUCCUUCAGAAAACAUUCAUACCCUGCAAGCUAAGAUCCUAAGAACCACUUAAUACCCAUACGUAUGGGAACUGUUGAAUCACAGCCUGAACCUCUGAUUGACCACCUGAGGAAAGCGCUGAGUCAGCUGCGGGGACACAGGUGAACGCAAUCUCACCUGAGUGACCGGAAGCCAGGAGCCAGGCUGCACCCCACAGAGACCCCAUUUAAGGGCUGACUCCCAAGGAGGAAGGAUCUCUAUCUGGAGAUCACUCACCUUGGAGCCCUUCUAUGAGCCCAGAAUACAGGUAAGAUCUUUAUUUUCAUUACUCCUUUGUAACACAAUAAUCUCUCUGGUCCUAUACCUGUUUGCCAUACACCAUACUAGUAAGCCUUAGAUUCUCUCAUGCACAUCUUUAUUUUCUCAAAGUCUAAGAAAUAACUAAAAUAAUGCUUUUAGUACACAUGACCAAACAAAGGGAGUGGGAAGGAUUUUCAGUAACAUAACUAUUAUGUGGUGAUAAUAAUAAAGUAAAUUUACCAGCUGUAAAAACAUUAAUUGAAUUACAUUCUCCUUGUAGCUAACAUAGAGUUACCACCAUUAGGUGGGACCUGGAAAACAAGUCACAAAUUGCAGCUCCUCUGGGCACCAGAGGUAGAAUAGCAGAAUGCUCAAGUCAGGCAAGAGGUCAGGACAAAACAUCAGAAGGCUCACCAAGUUAACUUUGUUUACAGAUUCUCUGUCAGCGUAGCUUUUAUGUGUACCUAAUGCAGUAACAGAAGGAUUUGAAGAAGGAUUCCAAAGUGAUAAAACUGCAUCUGUUUUCUUUUUAUACAUUCAAGUGACCUUGGACCAUGCACUACUCUUUAAAAGCAUUCAAAACAACAAGUUCUUGCCACCUUUCCAAGACUAAACAAGGGAGAAUGGAAUGUUACAGACUUCUACCACCUCAUCGUGGGAUGCCCAGAACUUGGUUAUGGGUAUCACUCUCGCCUUUCACCUUCCAGUGUGCAAUAACAAUUAUAUGACACUAUGGUCAUAUUCAGCCAGGCUGCUGCACAAAGCCAGCUCAUAUGUCACAGAGAUGCAUUAUGUGCGGACUACUAUUAGGAUUUUUAUUACAUGAUUGUUUAAGUUUUAUUGGUUUUGUUUAAACCAAAGUAUUUCUGGUAUCAGAAAACUUAAUCAUUGCUGUCUUAAACUUGCCAUUGUUUUUUUAAAAAUGCACAAAAAAGACAAAUUUUAACACAAGAAGCUUAACACUAAAGCACAAGCUGUUGAGUAGAUCAGAAACUUGACACAUUCUUCCUCCUGCUGCCAGGAUAAUUAGUGUAGUUAAAUACUACCUUAUUCAAAGUAGCAGUAUGACAUCUUCCUUGCACUGCAAGGAAGAAAUGCUAUUUGGAUUAGCAGCUAAACAAAAAUAUGGUGUCAGUUACCCAGAAUUCUGGAUUAGAGUCCAGAUGAAAAACAUCCUCAGUGCAGUACACUGUUAUGGUGGUAUGUACUUUCUCAGAUACACUUAUCUUUUCACCUUAAGGUGCCACGGAAUGAUACAGUUUGCCCAAAACUCUUUUGUGUUCACACAGGCAGUAUGGCAGAAAUAAAGAACAUACAGUCAUCUUUGAAUAUCUUUAAGCAGAACUGACCAUCAAAAAUAAUUCUGAUUGAAAACAUAAAAUGUAAGAGUUUGGGAAGUACUCAGGUUUAACUGUGCCUGAUUUUACUUCCAUUAGCUCUUUGCUUUCGCAGCUGGUUGCAUUUAGCUUUCCUCAAGAACACAGGGUUUAUACAUACUGUCCUCUUAUUAGAGACAUUUGGCUAACAAUGAAACAGCAUAAGAAACCAGCAUUUAAUUUUGAGUUGAGCUUCCUGUUCAAACAAGUAAGGAAUUUGCACAUUCCACAUCCAUUGUCCUGUCAAAACAAGCAGCCACACUUUGGUUAUACUGCUGAAAACAAUAGUUUUUAAAAAAGCUGACUUCAUGGAGCACAUUCUGGCAGAUGUCAUCACAGCAAGAAGGUCACAGAGGCUUGAAAUCUUACUGAGCAAUAGCAGCCCUGUGAGUUUUAUCAGAAGACGACAUGCCAAAUUAAGUACAAGAAAUUUCUGAAGUACAUUAGGUUCUGAAUAUAUUGCUGUUUUCUCCUCUCAAAAUCCACCUUUAUUUCCAAGCAGCUAGAAAGCAUUUCUAAGCUUUCUAUUGUCAUACUGGGCAAUGCCAUAUCCAUGUAAUUGCAUAUGCUGAGAAAUGAUUGAAGUGAUACUCACUGUUUGGACCUAUGAAACAGCUAGCUGGUAGCUCUACCUAAUUUCAGAUGGUCAGAAAUAAGAGUGGUAUUAUUCUCUGGAUUCUUUAUGAUACUGUAACUACAGUAAGAAGAUUUCAAAAGGUCACUACCCCUCAAAAAGCAGCAACAUGUCCAAAAAGUCAAAAUAAGCCAACCAAGGGGAUUCCAGGCAGGAUCAGACCCCAUCUCCCCUGUGCAAACCUGCCAAGUCCUAAUUUUCCAUCUUGAAAUUUACAGGGAAGUUGUACUCCCCCAUCCACAUCUGGGAAAGGUAAAGAAAAUGCAGCUUUGACUCUAAUGAAGCAGUAACAAAACUUAGGUCAGAAUUUGCCUGCUUGCUUCUCUCCUAAGUUGCCAUGCUAUGUACACACAUAAAAACAGAAGAGUGACAACAAAGGAAGCUUGAAAGCAGUGAGUGCCCAUGGGUGAAGAGUCACAUCUAAACCAUCCAUCACCUGCAAAGCACCACCUGUGUUUGGGCUGGAGCUAUGGAAAACAAACACUUUCAGCACUACUUGUUUUUUCCAUUUGAUAUUUAUACCCACAAGUGCAAAGCUUCCAAGUCAGGACAGUGGCAAGUGCUCCAAGCACAAACAACACCCAAACACACUCCACGUAGGAACAAAACUCUGAGAAAAUUACAGUCAUCUAUAUAGAAAACAAUCUGGAGCAUACCUACCUGAUCAUAAGAGUUAGCGAAAGAGCAGGGAGCUCAGUACACAAGCCUUAGUCAAAUACAUACCACCAAUUGAUUUUCUUUCUGUGGGAAAGCCAAAUCUUUCACCAACAAUCACGUUCUCACCGCUGAAAACCGAUAUGAAAAGCUCCCUUGAGGUUACUCUUCCUUCAGAAGCAUUUAUCAGACAGUUUUGCUUCCUCUUCCCCGGGGAGGAAGAGCCAUUUAACCAUACACAAACUAUUGCGGUUUUCCCAAAGCCAUGCAAGCCAUACACCCACAGAACAGACGGCAGCAUCAGCAAACCUGCAAUGGGGCAAAGACAAGCAUUUUUCCAGCAACGCUGCUUCCAGGCCCAAGGCACUGUUUCCGAAAAACCUCUCACAAAAACAGAAUUUAAGGUGACUAUUUCCUAUUUUCCCAGUCCAGUUUCAGAACUGAUUCCUUCCAACAAUUAUCUUACCAAAGUUAGAAGCUGACCUCUUGUUUGCACUGGUCUUUGUACAAAACAGGAACCGCAAUCCUCUGGUUAAGGGUCUAACCCAUGUAUCUGAAUAAUCAUCCAGAAACACCUGCUCUCAAUGAGUGGUCUGUAGUCCAAACAGUGGCUUUAAGUGGUUCAGAACAUCAAGUUGUUCCCUUUUUGUAGACUGGAAGGCCAACAUGGUUCAGAGGCGCACAGAUCUCAACAAGGAGUGAGGCCCAGCAGCACUCACUGCUGCACUUGGCUUUGGAACACCACAUAAAUAGGCUGAGGUAGAUCACUGAUGUUGUGACUUACAGUUAGCACACCACACGUGUCUGUGUAACCAGGAAGAAAUAUAUAUUCUCUAGGGUCUGCAGUCUUCAUGGCACCAACACAGCCUCAGAGAAAAACUGUUUCACGCAGGCAACAAGUCUGUUAAGGACAGCCUAACCAGUUUAGCAGAACUGACCAGCAGGGACAUCUUUUAGAAAGCAGACCCUCAGCGCCAACUGAAGCACACCUAGCCUUUGUUUUUGCAUCCAUCUUCCUUUCUGCUCACAACAAAUUUAGAGCAGACAUUCAAGGAGAAUAUUUAACACUAUGAAAUGAACAUUUAUUUUAGAAAGUACCUUCUCCUUCUCUUAAAACCUGCAGAGCCUCAAACAUCUAAGAAGCCUACAUUGAAAAUGUGGCAAUAACAUUAACACCAGUUCUUUGUUGACAAAGCUUUGCCAGUGGUAUUACAGAAGUCAGCUCUGUUUAAAAAAUACGAUCAUAACAUCUGUGUAACUGCUUGAAAACUUGGUAAGCUCAAUGCUACACUGUCAUCUGGCUGUUAAAAUUCUUACAUGUAGUUCACAAGUUAAUUGCUGAUUAAUUUAUAAUAGUUAUACUCUUUCUUGUAAAAAAGAUUAUCUCUGUUACAUGUACAUAUUUUUUGACAUGGUAUGCAUGUAACACUAUAUCACUUCUACAAGCAGUGCUUAGAUACUAACACUUAAAGGACUGCUAAGAAUGCCAGCUUAGCCACUUAGAUAACACAGGCUAAGUACCUUCUUUUGUUAACAUGAAGGUGCAACAGCAGGUUCAGUGACUGCACGUUCCAACCAGGCUGAAGAUGUCAGCUCCUGGCACUCCAGGCAUCAAAGCCACAACAGCUGUGGAUUUAAGUAGUGCCAAUCAGCUGAUUUUUUCUACUGCUAUCCCCACUAGCAAACGGCCUGGAAGUGCAUGAGAGUGCAGUUACAUACUUUGCACAGUGGAGACAGGACCUCAGAGGUCCAACCCUUUGUUUAAGACUGUUUCUUUUGCGGAUGUUUACAUAUAUGAAACAUUUCAUCACAUCAAGUUCCAUGAUCUUUUAAAAGCAGAGUAUCCUCCACAGUUUAACACCGUGUUCAGUUUAAGGCUGCUUCUACCAUGAUAGUGAGCUGUUACAGCAAACUUCUGAUAUUUGCAAGAGACACUCAAUAGCCCACUUUUCUCUAUUUGUGUUUUAAAAGCUCAGUUGUAACUGUUUGGGCAGCAGUUAUAUCGUUCAUGCUACAUAUUGAAAUCAUACACAUGCUAGGACAUCCUACUUCUCCCAAAGAGCCUACAAAAGUCCUAAUUUACACUAAAAAAUAGAAGAGCACCAGCUACUUGGGAAAUGAAGAGCCUGCUCCUCGCCCCAACUCCUUCAUUUCGGCAUUCCAUCCACGUCCGCGUUCCCAACACCAAUCGAUUUUUGUAUUCACUUACUUUGUGGUUUGUUUUUUAAGACAAGUAUUUAAACAUCUUCAGACCAUACAGAAAAUCAAGAAUCAGAAAAUGAUUUCCAAAAUAAAUCUGCUCUUUCAGAAAGCCCAAAGGAAAAAGCACACAACAAGCAUGCGUCACAGAAUAUGCCGUGUCUAACGCAAACACCAAUAACCCUGUAUCCAUUACCAAGAGGAUCAAGAGACAUGAAAUCAAAAGAAAGUAACACCAAACUGUGCAUCUAAUUCCAGACACCUGUAGUUUAAUUACAUUUCACAACAAGGCAAGCAUUGCUGUGAGUCAUUUAAACUUGAAAAGCAGUUAUCACCAGUUUCCGCAAAUCAAGACACACUAAAAUAUCUGAAAGCAGUUCUGUGAACAAGUAAGCCAAGUUUUCCUUUUCGGUCAUUUUAUUCUAAUGUGAAACAUGAAGAAACAAGAACCCAAAUAAAUCCAAUAUAGUAUGAAACUUUAAUAAAAGUUGUUUAAAAAACAAAGAGCAAAAUUUUAAAAAUAAACUGAAAAGCUUGACUCCUAAUCACACAUCUUAUCUUUCUGACAUCAGCAGAGUACUUUCAGACUUUCAAGGAGAAAAAAAAAACAAAAACAAAGAUCCGCUAUUGAAACAUUACUCCCAAAGACUGUUGAAACG